rfam:Triticum urartu cultivar G1812 contig122884, whole genome shotgun sequence.
CAACUACUCUCUCCGUUUGGAAUUACUUGUCGCAGAAAUGGAUGUAUCUAGAUGUAUUUUAGUUCUAGAUACAUCCAUAACGGAGAUAAAUAAUUCCGAACGGAUAGAGUAUUAC